rnacentral:rRNA from 1 species
GGUUAAGCGACUAAGCGUACACGGUGGAUGCCCUGGCAGUCAGAGGCGAUGAAGGACGUGCUAAUCUGCGAUAAGCGUCGGUAAGGUGAUAUGAACCGUUAUAACCGGCGAUUUCCGAAUGGGGAAACCCAGUGUGAUUCGUCACACUAUCAUUAACUGAAUCCAUAGGUUAAUGAGGCGAACCGGGGGAACUGAAACAUCUAAGUACCCCGAGGAAAAGAAAUCAACCGAGAUUCCCCCAGUAGCGGCGAGCGAACGGGGAGCAGCCCAGAGCCUGAAUCAGUGUGUGUGUUAGUGGAAGCGUCUGGAAAGGCGCGCGAUACAGGGUGACAGCCCCGUACACAAAAAUGCACAUGCUGUGAGCUCGAUGAGUAGGGCGGGACACGUGGUAUCCUGUCUGAAUAUGGGGGGACCAUCCUCCAAGGCUAAAUACUCCUGACUGACCGAUAGUGAACCAGUACCGUGAGGGAAAGGCGAAAAGAACCCCGGCGAGGGGAGUGAAAAAGAACCUGAAACCGUGUACGUACAAGCAGUGGGAGCACGCUUAGGCGUGUGACUGCGUACCUUUUGUAUAAUGGGUCAGCGACUUAUAUUCUGUAGCAAGGUUAACCGAAUAGGGGAGCCGAAGGGAAACCGAGUCUUAACUGGGCGUUAAGUUGCAGGGUAUAGACCCGAAACCCGGUGAUCUAGCCAUGGGCAGGUUGAAGGUUGGGUAACACUAACUGGAGGACCGAACCGACUAAUGUUGAAAAAUUAGCGGAUGACUUGUGGCUGGGGGUGAAAGGCCAAUCAAACCGGGAGAUAGCUGGUUCUCCCCGAAAGCUAUUUAGGUAGCGCCUCGUGAAUUCAUCUCCGGGGGUAGAGCACUGUUUCGGCAAGGGGGUCAUCCCGACUUACCAACCCGAUGCAAACUGCGAAUACCGGAGAAUGUUAUCACGGGAGACACACGGCGGGUGCUAACGUCCGUCGUGAAGAGGGAAACAACCCAGACCGCCAGCUAAGGUCCCAAAGUCAUGGUUAAGUGGGAAACGAUGUGGGAAGGCCCAGACAGCCAGGAUGUUGGCUUAGAAGCAGCCAUCAUUUAAAGAAAGCGUAAUAGCUCACUGGUCGAGUCGGCCUGCGCGGAAGAUGUAACGGGGCUAAACCAUGCACCGAAGCUGCGGCAGCGACACUGUGUGUUGUUGGGUAGGGGAGCGUUCUGUAAGCCUGCGAAGGUGUGCUGUGAGGCAUGCUGGAGGUAUCAGAAGUGCGAAUGCUGACAUAAGUAACGAUAAAGCGGGUGAAAAGCCCGCUCGCCGGAAGACCAAGGGUUCCUGUCCAACGUUAAUCGGGGCAGGGUGAGUCGACCCCUAAGGCGAGGCCGAAAGGCGUAGUCGAUGGGAAACAGGUUAAUAUUCCUGUACUUGGUGUUACUGCGAAGGGGGGACGGAGAAGGCUAUGUUGGCCGGGCGACGGUUGUCCCGGUUUAAGCGUGUAGGCUGGUUUUCCAGGCAAAUCCGGAAAAUCAAGGCUGAGGCGUGAUGACGAGGCACUACGGUGCUGAAGCAACAAAUGCCCUGCUUCCAGGAAAAGCCUCUAAGCAUCAGGUAACAUCAAAUCGUACCCCAAACCGACACAGGUGGUCAGGUAGAGAAUACCAAGGCGCUUGAGAGAACUCGGGUGAAGGAACUAGGCAAAAUGGUGCCGUAACUUCGGGAGAAGGCACGCUGAUAUGUAGGUGAAGUCCCUCGCGGAUGGAGCUGAAAUCAGUCGAAGAUACCAGCUGGCUGCAACUGUUUAUUAAAAACACAGCACUGUGCAAACACGAAAGUGGACGUAUACGGUGUGACGCCUGCCCGGUGCCGGAAGGUUAAUUGAUGGGGUCAGCGCAAGCGAAGCUCUUGAUCGAAGCCCCGGUAAACGGCGGCCGUAACUAUAACGGUCCUAAGGUAGCGAAAUUCCUUGUCGGGUAAGUUCCGACCUGCACGAAUGGCGUAAUGAUGGCCAGGCUGUCUCCACCCGAGACUCAGUGAAAUUGAACUCGCUGUGAAGAUGCAGUGUACCCGCGGCAAGACGGAAAGACCCCGUGAACCUUUACUAUAGCUUGACACUGAACAUUGAGCCUUGAUGUGUAGGAUAGGUGGGAGGCUUUGAAGUGUGGACGCCAGUCUGCAUGGAGCCGACCUUGAAAUACCACCCUUUAAUGUUUGAUGUUCUAACGUUGACCCGUGAUCCGGGUUGCGGACAGUGUCUGGUGGGUAGUUUGACUGGGGCGGUCUCCUCCUAAAGAGUAACGGAGGAGCACGAAGGUUGGCUAAUCCUGGUCGGACAUCAGGAGGUUAGUGCAAUGGCAUAAGCCAGCUUGACUGCGAGCGUGACGGCGCGAGCAGGUGCGAAAGCAGGUCAUAGUGAUCCGGUGGUUCUGAAUGGAAGGGCCAUCGCUCAACGGAUAAAAGGUACUCCGGGGAUAACAGGCUGAUACCGCCCAAGAGUUCAUAUCGACGGCGGUGUUUGGCACCUCGAUGUCGGCUCAUCACAUCCUGGGGCUGAAGUAGGUCCCAAGGGUAUGGCUGUUCGCCAUUUAAAGUGGUACGCGAGCUGGGUUUAGAACGUCGUGAGACAGUUCGGUCCCUAUCUGCCGUGGGCGCUGGAGAACUGAGGGGGGCUGCUCCUAGUACGAGAGGACCGGAGUGGACGCAUCACUGGUGUUCGGGUUGUCAUGCCAAUGGCACUGCCCGGUAGCUAAAUGCGGAAGAGAUAAGUGCUGAAAGCAUCUAAGCACGAAACUUGCCCCGAGAUGAGUUCUCCCUGACUCCUUGAGAGUCCUGAAGGAACGUUGAAGACGACGACGUUGAUAGGCCGGGUGUGUAAGCGCAGCGAUGCGUUGAGCUAACCGGUACUAAUGAACCGUGAGG